rnacentral:tRNA from 1 species
GGGGCUGCGGCUCAAUGGUAGAGCACUCACCUAGCACAUGCGAGGCCCUGGGUUCGAUUCUCAGCACCACA